rnacentral:rRNA from 1 species
GACGAACGCUGGCGGCGCGCCUAACACAUGCAAGUCGAACGAGCGAGAGGAGGUUUACUUUCUCAAGCGAGUGGCGAACGGGUGAGUAACGCGUGAGGAACCUGCCUCAAAGAGGGGGACAACAGUUGGAAACGACUGCUAAUACCGCAUAAGCCCACGACCCGGCAUCGGGUAGAGGGAAAAGGAGCAAUCCGCUUUGAGAUGGCCUCGCGUCCGAUUAGCUAGUUGGUGAGGUAAUGGCCCACCAAGGCGACGAUCGGUAGCCGGACUGAGAGGUUGAACGGCCACAUUGGGACUGAGACACGGCCCAGACUCCUACGGGAGGCAGCAGUGGGGAAUAUUGCACAAUGGGGGAAACCCUGAUGCAGCGACGCCGCGUGGAGGAAGAAGGUCUUCGGAUUGUAAACUCCUGUCGUUGAGGAAGAUAAUGACGGUACUCAACAAGGAAGUGACGGCUAACUACGUG